rnacentral:rRNA from 1 species
UACGAAGGGUGCAAACGUUGCUCGGAAUUAUUGGGCGUAAAGAGCUCGUAGGCGGCUUGUCGCGUCGACUGUGAAAACCCACGGCUUAACUGUGGGCUUGCAGUCGAUACGGGCAGGCUAGAGUUCGGUAGGGGAGACUGGAAUUCCUGGUGUAGCGGUGAAAUGCGCAGAUAUCAGGAGGAACACCGGUGGCGAAGGCGGGUCUCUGGGCCGCUCCUGACGCUGAUACGCGAAGGCCAGGGUAGCGAACGGG